CACGUAGGCACCAAGCGUUGUCCGGAUUUAUUGGGCGUAAAGAGCUCGUAGGCGGUUCGGUAAGUCGGGUGUGAAAACUCUGGGCUCAACCCAGAGCCGCCACCCGAUACUGCUGUGACUUGAGUUCGGUAGGGGAGCGGGGAAUUCCUGGUGUAGCGGUGAAAUGCGUAGAGAUCAGGAAGAACACCCGUGGCGAAGGCGGCCCACUGGGCCGGUACUGACGCUGAGGAGCGAAAGCGUGGGGAGCGAACAGG
rnacentral:rRNA from 1 species